GGGGAAGAGCGUCCUGAGUACCAGAGGAAUGGAACAUGGAAGUCUGCCCAAGGCAAGCGCUUUACCUGAAGGGGCAGGACUGGAGUUCGUAUUGUCUUUCCUAAUGAUGGUCCAAAAUUGCAUAAGCUUUGCAAUUUCCCAAGAAAACGGGACCCGCCUUUGACUGAGAGAGUUGGCCUCUCACAGACAUCAGUGCAAAGCUACUGAAAGAUGACCUUCAGGAAGAAGAAAGUUGAACUCAGAAGGAAGAGGUGGGAUUCAAGAGGCAAUGAAACAAAUAAAUAAAUGUCAAUUAGAUAAUAGUGAUAAUGAUAAUAAGCCAUUCCUCAUUGCCCUGGGAUACUACGUAAACACUGCAAUGUGUCUGAAGAGGUCCUCUGUGGUCUAGUCUCUGUUGACCUCCAGCUUUAUCAAGCACCACUCCGACACCACCUACGACUCUGUACAUCUGCACUGAGGCCUCCAGGCAUUCUCACAUUCUGUUCCUUCUCUCUGGAACACUCUUCCCUCCUUUCUUAAGGACAGGGCACCCGACCCUAUCUGCCUAGAUGAGGGGCCCCUCCUGCCUGCUCUGAGGUGGCCCGUGCUGUCACCCUCCCUUGUUACCUCUUUACUGAUCUACCUCCCCUGCUAGACUGUGGUGUCGUGAGGCACCGACAGAGCCUGGUUCCUUCCCGG
rnacentral:lncRNA from 1 species